UUUUUUUUUUUUUUGGGCGGGAGUUUCUGGCUUCACGUAUCAGCGUCUCUUCUUCACGCGCAGCGAGAGCACCGAGGAGGAGGAGGGAAACAGAAAAUGGCGGACGGUGUCGACCACAUCGAUAUUUACGCCGAUGUAGAAGAGGAAUUUAAUCAGGAGUCAGAUUAUCCUGUUCAUGAGCAGAUUGACCUGUAUGAUGAUGUCAUCUCACCAUCUGCCAACAACGGGGACGCACCUGAGGACCGAGAUUACCUGGACAACCUGCCUGCACCGGGAGGAUCUGAGGGGAACAAAGGAGCUCCGCCGAACGUCGUUUACACCUACACUGGCAAACGAAUCGCUCUGUACAUCGGCAAUCUCACAUGGUGGACCACUGAUGAAGAUUUGACCGAUGCUAUUCGCUCAAUAGGCAUCAAUGAUGUGCUAGAGAUCAAGUUUUUUGAGAAUCGAGCAAAUGGCCAGUCAAAAGGGUUUGCUCUGGUCUGCGUGGGUUCAGACUCCUCGUCCAGGAAGCUGAUGGACCUGCUUUCCAAACGGGAGCUGCACGGACAAAACCCGAUCGUCACUCCUUGCAACAAACAGUCACUCAGCCAGUUUGAGAUGCAGUCGCGAAAAAUUUUUGCCCAAGGCACACAGUCCGGACAAAUGUCCGGAGAAGGGAAAGCUGGACCUCCAGGCUCAGGAUCUCGUAGCGGCUUCCCUCUUGGCAAGAAUCGAGGGCGAUUUCCCACCCCACCUGGCCCAGGAGGAGACCGCUUUCCAGGACCAGUUGGACCUGGUGGACCUCCGCCACACUUCCCAGGUAUGCAAGGCCCGCCGCGUCCUCCCUCAGGCCCACCUGGGCCUCCAGGACCCCCUGGCCCCCCUCCACCUGGACAAGGUCUGCUGCCGCCCCUUGGAGGUCCUCCUAACAGAGGAGACCGUCCUCCUCCACCUGUCAUGUUUCCUGGUCAGUUUGGUCAGCCUCCUAUGGGACCGAUGCCUCCUGGCCCGCCCCCACCUGGAUACGGGCCUCCCCCAGGCCCCCUUCCACCUCAGCAGGGUCCGCCCCCUCCGGGACCCUUCCCUCCCCGUCCACCUGGGCCCUUAGGACCCCCGCUUGGCCUCGCACCUCCACCUCACAUGCAGGGACCUCCACCUGGAGGUCCACCUCCGGCCCCUCACGUCAACCCAGCCUUCUUCCCGCCGCCUGGAAACAACAACAUGCCAUCGUCUGACAGCAGGGGCCCACCGCCGGGUGAACUGUACGGCCGCCCACCUCCAUACGACAGAGACUACGGCCCUGGCGGCAGUAACUUCAGACCCCCUGUAGUAUGUGGCUUUGAGCCCUGGAUAAACGAGGGGUUGGUUGAUGUGAAAAACUCUGGCCAGCACUUGCACAAUACAAGUGAUCAAGGGGACAUGGAUUCGUCUCGCGCUCCUCUGAGUGAAGCUGAGUUUGAGGAGAUCAUGAAUCGUAACAGAGCGAUAUCCAGCAGUGCUAUCUCGAGGGCAGUGUCAGACGCGAGUGCAGCUGAUUAUGGCAGUGCUAUAGAGACUUUGGUGACAGCCAUCUCUCUGAUCAAGCAGUCAAAGGUUUCUGCUGACGACCGCUGCAAAGUUCUCAUCAGCUCACUGCAGGACUGCUUGCAUGGAAUUGAGUCCAAAUCCUAUGGCUCUGUAUCGAGCAGGCGGGAACGGUCCAGGGAGAGGGACCACAGUCGGUCUCGUGAGAAGCAUCGCCGCAAGUCUCGCAGCCGAGACCGACACGAGGACUAUUACAGAGAGCGCAGUCGCGAGAGGGACCGUCAUCGUGAGAGAGACCGUGACCGUGACCGCGAAAGAGACAGAGAACGUGAGCGGGAAUAUCGCCGUUAGUUGAAAAGGAAGGUGUGUAUCCUGUUUGUCUCUGUUUUUGUUUCUCCCCUCUUCCUUCAGGAUUCAGAUGUACACGCAUCUUAUCCUGCAGAGGUCGGGAUCACAGGUACGUGAUCGGAAAAGCGUGAUCUAAGUACUCUGAUCCUUAACUUGUGUACCUGGUCUUGAAGCCAUUUAAUGUGCAGUAUCAGCUCCAGCAACCAUAAACUGUCCCACAAUUGUGUUGAUGAUAUCAGUUUGUCUUUGAAAGGAUUUUGUGUAUUUCAACAUUUUAUUUAAAAUCAAAAUGCAUUUGCAUUUUAAAAUGGAGGUUACUGCACUUAGUUGUCCAUUUAACUGAGAUUUGCUGCUACUUUUGAGACUUCCAAUGUCAAACAACACUUCCCUCCUUAUUUUGCCUAAUUGACUAAUUGUUUGGCAAAAAAAGUAAAUUCAGCAUGUAUUUCAUGCCUUUACAAUUGCGAUUUAUGAAAUAUAAAUUCAACCUGUGACCAUAAAUGUAUAGAAAAUUGGUUGAAGUUUGAUAAGAGAACAUGAAUGUAUUGAAAUGAGCAAAAUUGUUUCUCAGGUUGUGCGUUGACAUUCCUGCAGGCAGAUUUGAUGUUGACAUAAUUGUUGUUCUAGUGUUUAGUUCCUUACUAAUUUGUUGUGAAAAGCAAAUGAAUGGAGUCAAAUUGAUCUGCUUUGGCAUUUAAAAAAAUGAAGCUUGUAGUCUGUCAGGUUGAGUUGUCAUGGUGUAGGCAAAUUUUUUCAUGUGUAAGGUUUAGUCUUGAGCACAUCUGUACAGUAUAAUUUAAGAAAACGCAUUCUGAAUGUCCUGUCAGAACAAGCUAAAUGUAUUUUUACUGUCAAGGGUCAUUUUGUGCAUUCUAGUAUUCCAGUCACAUUUGCAGGUUUUUAAUAGUUUGUCAAACUUUUCCAUCUUUUUCUUAUCUGAAUUUGACAUUUCUCGGUUCACAUCAUAUCGUUAUUCAUUUAUUUUCCAUGUUUGUUAAUGUUACACCCUCUUAGAUGCUGCAGAUGUAGCAGUUCUUCACCAUUUUUAAUGUUUAUGGCUUUAAAUGUAAAAUAAAAAUAGAUCUACAAUGUUAGAGUAACACCAAUUAUGCUCUUCAUUUUAUAUCAUGUCCUUUAAUGCUUAAUGAAUGGAGAAGAACUGCUAUAUUGCUUUUCCAGAGGUAACAUGUGAAAGUUUUUAGCAUUUUUACGCUUUUUUUUUUGUUUUUAUUCUCUUGGUAAACACUCAUGUUUGUGAUGAUUUAAUAUGCAACAGAUAUUUAAUAAAUAUUUUCACAAUCGGUAUUUAAAUUAAUGCACACAUGUCCUCAGUUCAAACCCUGUUGGUCUGAUAUUAGAAACUCUUUACUGUCUAACCUGUUGCUCUAUGGCUCUGCUGUAUGACGGUGUUCCUACAGGCUAAAUUUGUACGUAAAUGUAAAUUUGUAUGUAAAUGCUGAGGACACUGUAAUAUCAUGUGUGAUGCAUUGUGAGUGACCCCACAUAUGCUAGAUUUAGAUGCAAAAAAUACAAAACAGUUAAACUAAAACUGCAACUCCGGUUUAGCAGAUAGAUUGUAAAUGCACAACUGCGUUGUCAGUUUUGUUGAAUGUAAUUCUGGUAGCCUCCAAAUUGUUGUUCUGGCCUCCUAUCCAAAAAAUUGCCAAUUAUUCAGGUGUUUGUUUGUUGUUUUUCUUUUUCUGUGUUCUCAACUGUACAACCUAUAAUUGUAGCAACACCAAUCAGGGAAAGUCAGCAAUGCACAAUUUGCAUUUUGAUUUGUUCCGCUGUUAUUAAUUCAGAAAUCAUGUUGCACUUUUAAUGUUUUUCGCCUAAAGUAUGCGUCAGGUUAGAGCUUUUGAAUGGAGAUUUUAAGCACUGCAAACUUAAAAUAAUUGGAAAGCAUUUGCUCCAUGCGUAGAGCCCUGUUCCAUGGGGUUGAUUGGGAUUUUUGGAUGUAGUGUUCAUCUGCAGAAAUGACUGUGUUCCCAGUUUAUUUGUGGAGGUUUUUCUGAAGUAAUGGUCCUGACGUGGUAUUAAUCCCCUAUUCCUUUGUUUACUAUUGUUUUAUAAGAUGCUGUCACAGGAUUGGACAAACUUGUGUUUUUGUGGUAAUUACAGGUACUAAUUAUUGUACUUCCAAACACAAAAUACACUGUAACAUACUUGGUGAAUUCAGUGCAAGAAUUUCCAUGUGUUCAUGUCUAACUUGCUAAAUAUUUCUGAAAGAUCUUGCAUUAAAAUGGGCUGAAAUACCUGUGAAUGACUAAAGACACAAACUUAUGUUUUAAUAAGAAAUCACGUCUUCGGUAUGUUUUUUUUGUCCAUUUUUCUUGACUAACAGAAAGGCAAAGUACGAUUAGUCGCUGAAUUUUGUCCAACCCUGUGUACUGUAAUUCCAGUGUCCACUGAAUCACUAGAAUCAAGCAAUUUAGUAUGGAACUUUUUUUUUGAUCAACUCUUAGAAAUGUCAUUUCUGUUCAGUAGAAAUGAUGCAUACAAUUGUGAACGGUUGCAUCUUAAAAACAAAUGCUUUUUGCGUUGGGGGUGGAUCGAAUUUGAAAUGUGGAUUUGAUGCUUGUUCUCAGAGGUAAAGUGGACACUAUACUUUGUGCUUCACAAUUUUUGUCAAUGGGGGGGGAUUAAGAGUUAGUAUUUUUCCUAUUGUAGAAAAAAAGAAAAUGCAGGUUAGCAUUUCUAAUUUUGUUCAAUUGAAGUUGAAUAACUAGUUAAAUGCUCUAAAGAAUCUUAAAUGAUUGGAUUAUUGAUUCAUUGAGAUUCGGUAAAAGCCAACAUAUGAUGCUGUUUUUAAAUGUCUGUACCUUGGCAGUUUACCAUGUGGGCUUAUUGCCCAUGAUCGAAGCAUUAUUUUGCCGACAUGAAAUUUGAAUGUUUUUUUGACACCUUUUAGAUGUUGUUUUCCAUUAUAGAUAUGAAGUCUACAAAAUGAGCACUAGUGAGUGAUUUUGAAGUAGAUCACAUCUGCUUAUAUAAUUGAUUUUACCAGUGAAAUUGAUUUUGUGCAGCAAGCAAAAAACUCAAAAUAAUUACUAGUUAACCUUGUUUGAAGCCAUAAGAUAUCAUACAUGUUUUACAUUGACUGAGACAAACCAAUCAACCAAAAUAAUGUCAAUCCGUAUCAUCAUCAUAGGAAUUUUUAUGCAAUUUAAAUUGCAUAUGUCCAUAACCUCUUAUUCUACAGAUCCAACUUAUGCAUGCACUUUUUCUGUACUUCAUUGUAGUGGAAUUGCAGUUUUUCAUCUUCAAUAUAAAUUUUUUUUUUUUUUUUUAACCUCAUCUUGUUCCAAACCUGUAUCAUUUUUUUUAUUGAGCUUUUUGACUAAAAUCUACUUUUAAAAUACAACACUACCAAAUGUAUUUCAAAUCUCACUCAUUCAAAUCCUGUGUUGGUAGUACAGAUGCUGAUUUGUAUGGAUUUGUUUUGGUUGAUUGAUUUCUCAAUGGGACUGAAAGCCAUAUAUUUUCAUAUGACUCUACUAAUGCAUAUUUUGCCAAUUGGUCAACUCGUAUGAAUUACAGUUUUGAUGUGGGGUAUUGUGCAUUUGAAUACUAUAAAUUUGAUCAUUGUCAUGGAUGAGUAAUGGAAAUCAGAUAUGAUUGAUUGCUAAUGUUGAUUUUAAAGAAAUGGUUCAUGCAAAAAUAAAAACAUUGCUGAAAAUUUGCUCACUCUUAAGCCAUCCAGGAUGUAGAUGAGUUUUUCUUCAUCAGAUUUGGAGAAAUCUAGCAUCACUUGCUCAGCAAUGUAUCCUCUGCAGUGAAUGGGUGCCGUCAGAAUGAGAGUCCAAACAGCUGAUAAAAACAUCAAAAUCCACACCUGUGCUUGAUCUGUGCUUAUUUCUCUCCUGAUUCAGACAAAUGAUUUUUUCAUUGGAAGAAGCAAUAUUUCGGAUAGAGGACUUGUUGAAGUGAAAACUCUUAGCCAUGGAAUUGUUUUCGUUUCACAAGAUGUUAACUGAUGGACUGGAGUGGUGUGGAUUAUUGUGAUGUUUUUAUCAGCUGUUUGGACUGUCAUUCUGACAGCACCCAUUCACUGCAGAGAAUCCAUUGCUGAGCAAGUGAUGUAAUGCUACAUUUCUCCAAAUCUGAUGAAGAAACAAACUCCCCUACAUCUGGGAUGUCAAAUUCAGCAAACUUUCAUUCCUGGUUGAACUAUUCCUUUAAUGUCCAGAGUGAAAAUGACGUAUUUGCUGAGUUGUGGUGUUGAGUACAGUGUUUCAUAGUUGUGCAUGCCAAUGUCUUUAUGAUUGUGUCGUCUCUUCACACUGUAUUUAUACACUGAAUCCAGGGGCUUGUCUCAAAUAGUUUUUUUUUUAAUGACUGCACUUAAUGUACUUUUACCAAAUUCUGUGCUUUUGUAAAACUACUACAUUAAAAUAUUGCUUUAGACAAUUACAGUAGUCGUAACGCAACAAUAUAUGCCCCUUAGUUUGAUGCUGUUGAAAACUGAAAGUUGUUUGCAUGCCUGUGUAUGUCUGGGACGGUCUGAGCGUGUGUAGAUGUAGAGGGGAAAAGCAGCUGUGUGUGUUUCUGGGUUCUGUGCCCCAAAACAAACUGCAACCUUCGUUUUGACACCUUUCAGCUGAACGCAAGAGGAGGAGGAGAGACGUCAGGAGCAACGAGGAUUCAUCCGACAGCGUCCCGCAUCGCACCGUCACGGAGAGCACCGGACUCCGGACACACUCUGCAGCGCUGAAGUAGAGUUCUGUAAAAUAUUAUAUACUCACUCUUAAUUCCCGACAGCUCAUUUUUUUAUUUUUUACUUUUAUUUGGAAGUAGCUGUGUGCUAAAGUCAGUUCAGCGAAAGAGAAUUAUUUGCCUGCUUGUUCGAAACACAAAACAACUUUCCCACUGCUAUAAUGUUGUAAAUUGUCAGUUAGCUAGAUUUGUUUUUAUAGGAUCCUCUCUUUUGGUUUCAUGUUUCUUCCAUUUUCCCCUCGUCCAUAUAAUGUUUGUAAGUGUCUUUUUGCCUUGAUUAUUAAAUAGAAUCCGUGUUGUAAUAAAGUGUGUACUUAUUGCUUGUUCAUACUUGAUCUGCUAGUUUAGGUUACUGGGUUAAACAUUUAGCCAGCCAUUGCUUUUUAUUUGUUCAGAAUUGCACAUUUCCAAAACUUGUCCUACUUGGAUAUCAGGAUAAUUGGUUCAAGAACCACAUUUCAGGUUGACAUCUUUACUUUCUAUAAACACUGUGCCAUUGUGCCUUUUCCAGUUUUACUUCAUUUUAAAAGGUUCAAUACAAUAUGGAUUAAUUUGUGUAUUAUCUGUGUUGAGUCCUGUUCAUAUUCCAAAUCAAUUGGCAAUUCAUACAGGGUUAAAUUUUCCAUAACUUUUUUUCAUUGGUUUUCUUGAUUGUGAUUGGAGCUAUACAAUUCAAAUCUGUGAAACCUGCUCAAUUUUGUAGUUUUUGUCAAAAUAAUGAAUCAUUUAUGCUUAGCAAAUUAUAAAAGUACAAAAUAUUCUGCAUUUGUAAUGUCUAUCUGACAUCCCUGUUGCAGAUUGUGUGCAUUGCUUUGUGUAUAUAUCUAAUCUUCAUGUGUGUGUGUGUAUAUAUAUAUAUGUAGGAUUUACUGUAAAUUCUCUCAAAGGGUCUCUUAUGUUUGGUUCUGCUAGAUUUAGAAUUUAAAGGAAUGGUUCACCCAAAAAUGAAAACUUGCUGAAUAUACCCACCCUUCGCGUCCAAGAGUGUUUCUUCAUCAGAUUUGGAGAAAUUUAGCAUCACUUGCUCACCAAUGGAUCCUCUGCAGUGAAUGGGUGCCGUCAGAAUGAAAUUAUUUUGUUUCUUACAAACAUGCAGCUUUUGUCUUCACACAGUGUGGAUUAUUGUGAUGGGGUUUUAUCAGCUGUUUGGACUCUCAUUCUGACGGCACCCAUUCACUGCAGAGGAUCCAUUGGUGAGCAAGUGACGCUAAAUUUCUCCAAAUCUGAUGAAGAAACACACUUUUACCUUUUGGAUGGCCUGAGGGCGAGUAAAUUUUAAGCCGAUUUUCUUUUUCAGGUCACUGUUCCUUUAAGCCUUAAUGCAAAUUUCUUCCACUAAUUCAUUGUACAGAGUUUCCGAUUUUCGUUAUGUAGACGGCUUACGGCAGCUGUUUUUGCUAGUGAUGUAAUAAGCAGUGUUUCCACAUGCAAGUCUGUACUGUAAGGUUAUCUCUGAUUACUGUAAAUAUUCAUGCACUUUAUUUUGAGACUUUGAAGACAGUUGAGAGAUGUACUUCUGGGUAUUUGACACGUGACCUGUGCAUUGGUCACUUUGCAUCUGUUUGAAUGAAAGAUUAAGGGUCAUGUAAACUCAGUUACUCACCUGAGGCCUGUGGGCUUUUAUUGGUGUUUUUGAUGGUUUAUCACUGUAAUUAGAGCAAGUUCAAUGUUGGAGUAAUUCAAGUGGUUCUUCGAGCCGCAUCCUCUGCUAGUGAAGUGGACAGACGUCGAGAUUGUGGGUUCCUGUUCCCUCAUAAACAUCUGGACUGAGAGGUAAGUCCGUUUUGGCUUUCAAAUCUUAUCGGAAUUGGUACACUUGUGCAUUUUGUAGUUGUUUUUGUAGCCCAGAGUAUUGCAGCUUGUUUACAGCUCAAGUUUAUUCAGGUCUUGCUGUUGCCUGACCUCCUCUGAUGCAUUUCCUUUAUUGUUUGUUAAAAUUUGAUGUGGCUCAGUCCACAUAAUUAUUCAUGAUUGAUGUGAGCUACCUGAUGUAUUAUUCAGAUUUACUAUUACAGAAUAUUUUUGCCAAUCAAUAAAUUUUUUUUCACACUA